CAGCAGCCGCCGCGGGAAUACGUAGGGUGCGAGCGUUAAUCGGAAUUACUGGGCGUAAAGCGUGCGCAGGCGGUUUUGUAAGACAGGCGUGAAAUCCCCGGGCUCAACCUGGGAAUGGCGCUUGUGACUGCAAAGCUAGAGUGCGGCAGAGGGGGAUGGAAUUCCGCGUGUAGCAGUGAAAUGCGUAGAUAUGCGGAGGAACACCGAUGGCGAAGGCAAUCCCCUGGGCCUGCACUGACGCUCAUGCACGAAAGCGUGGGGAGCAAACAGGAUUAGAUACCCCAGUAGUCCCUGUCUCUUAUAA
rnacentral:rRNA from 1 species